GAUGAACGCUGGCGGCGUGCCUAAUACAUGCAAGUCGAGCGAACGGACGAGAAGCUUGCUUCUCUGAUGUUAGCGGCGGACGGGUGAGUAACACGUGGAUCACCCACCUAUAAGACUGGGAUCACUUCGGGAAACCGGAGCUAAUACCGUAUAAUCUUUUGCUCCGCAUGGUUCAAAAGUGAAAGUCGGCCUUGCUGUCACUUAUCGCUGGAUCCGCGCUGCAUUAGCUGGUUGGUAGGGACACAGCUUACCAAGGCAACGAUGCAUGAGCGACGGAAGAGGGGGAUAGCCCACCCUGGAAGGGAGACGCGGUCCAGACUCCUACGGGAGGGAGCAGUAGGCUAUGGUACGCAACAGGCGGAAGCCUGGCGGAGUGACGGCGCGUGAGUGAUGAAGGUCUUCGGUGCGUAAAACUCGGUUAUUGGGGAAGAACAGAUGUGUAAGUAGCUGUGCACAGCGUGACGGUACCGAAUCAGAAAGCCACGGCUAACUACGUG
rnacentral:rRNA from 1 species